CCUGGUGAAAUAAGGCGGCUAUUGCUAGGAUCAUUUGCCCUUUGGCAGUUCAUCAUCUUCCCCCUCCAGGUGGUCCUGGUGGCCAACAACAGAAAUGCAAUUAGAUUCCAGGACACACUGGAUUUUUUCAGCAGGACCCUCCAUGUAAGCACCUGGAAAGUUUAUGUGGCAUAAACCUGCUUCGCCAAGGUUAGAACAACACGAAACGUGGUCGGCCGCUCUGCGGGAAAUCACUCGCAAAGAAUCUGCUUUCGGAGGUGCCCACGGGCAUAGGCUGUGUCAGUCGAGUUGCCAGUAGUGUUCUUGUCCAACCGGUAAGACUUCACCUUGUCAAGCCACCUAAGUUUGAGGUCUGAAAAGCCAAGAAACUCAUCAGUGGAGUGCAUGAGAUAAUUCAAGCCUUCAAAAAGCCUCUGGUUGAUGAAGGUAGGAAGGAUAUUGUGCUCCUGGACCCACGAUUCAAAAAAA